rnacentral:rRNA from 1 species
GACGAACGCUGGCGGCGUGCCUAAUACAUGCAAGUCGAACGAGUGGCGGACGGGUGAGUAACACGUGGGUAACCUACCCACAGAGGGGGAUAACACUUGGAAACGGGGUCUAAUACCGACUAACGGGGGAUGGACUCGCGGCCUAUCAGCUUGUUGGGGGGGGGAUGGCAUACCAAGGCGGUGACGGGUAGCCGGCCCGAUGGCGUGACCGGCCACAUUGGGACUGGGAUACGGCCCAGACUCGUACGGGAGGCAGCAGUGGGGGAUAUUGCACAAUGGGGGAAAGCCUGAUGCUGCGACGCCGCGUGGGGGAUGAAGGCUUUCGGGUUGUAAACCUCUUUCGCUAUCGAACGGGUAGGCGGAGAAGAAGCGCCGGCUAACUACGUGCCAGCCGCCGCGGUAAUAC